rfam:Candidatus Saccharibacteria bacterium RIFCSPHIGHO2_12_FTLL_47_16b rifcsphigho2_12_scaffold_524, whole genome shotgun sequence.
GCCGUGAUAGCUCAGUGGCAGAGCGACGCCAUGGUAAGGCGUAAACACGAGUUCGAUUCUCGUUCACGGCU